AGCCUGGGCAACAUGGCAAAACUCUGUCUCUACAAAAAAUAGAAAAAUUAGCCAAGAGUAGGGGUAUGUGCUUGUAGUCCCAGCUACUCGGGAUGCUGAGGUGGGAGGAUCGCUUGAGCCCAGGAGUUCUGGGCUGUAGUGCGCUAUGCCGAUCGGGUGUCCGCACUAAGUUCGGCAUCAAUAUGGUGACCUCCCGGGAGCGGGGGACCACCAGGUUGCCUAAGGAGGGGUGAACCGGCCCAGGUCGGAAACGGAGCAGGUCAAAACUCCCGUGCUGAUCAGUAGUGGGAUUGCGCCUGUGAAUAGCCACUGCACUCCAGCCUGGGCAACAUAGUGAGACCCUGC
rnacentral:SRP_RNA from 1 species